AGUGAACGCUGGCGGUAGGCCUAACACAUGCAAGUCGAACGGCAGCACAGUAAGAGCUUGCUCUUACGGGUGGCGAGUGGCGGACGGGUGAGGAAUACAUCGGAAUCUACUUUUUCGUGGGGGAUAACGUAGGGAAACUUACGCUAAUACCGCAUACGACCUACGGGUGAAAGCAGGGGAUCUUCGGACCUUGCGCGAUUGAAUGAGCCGAUGUCGGAUUAGCUAGUUGGCGGGGUAAAGGCCCACCAAGGCGACGAUCCGUAGCUGGUCUGAGAGGAUGAUCAGCCACACUGGAACUGAGACACGGUCCAGACGCCUACGGGAGGCAGAAGUGGGGAAUAUUGGACAAUGGGCGCAAGCCUGAUCCAGCCAUACCGCGUGGGUGAAGAAGGCCUUCGGGUUGUAAAGCCCUUUUGUGGGGAAAGAAAAGCAGCAGGUUAAUACCCCGCUGUUCUGACGGUACCCAAAGAAUAAGCACCGGCUAACUUCGU
rnacentral:rRNA from 1 species